rnacentral:rRNA from 1 species
UGGGGAAUAUUGGGCAAUGGGCGAAAGCCUGACCCAGCGACGCCGCGUGGGGGAAGAAGUCCCUCGGGAUGUAAACCCUUGUUGUACGGGACGAAGGAAGUGACGGUACCGUACGAGGAAGCCCCGGCAAACUACGUGCCAGCAGCCGCGGUAAUACGUAGGGGGCGAGCGUUGUCCGGAAUCACUGGGCGUAAAGCGCACGUAGGCGGGCUGUUAGGUCGGCCGUGAAAGGCACUGGCUCAACCGGCGUUUGUCGGUCGAUACUGGCAGUCUGGAGUAUGGGAGAGGGAACUGGAAUUCCCUGUGUAGCGGUGAAAUGCGUAGAUAUCGGGAGGAACACCAGUGGCGAAGGCGGGUUCCUGGCCCAUGACUGACGCUGAGGUGCGAAAGCCGGGGGAGCGAAC